AGCAGCCGCGGUAAUUCCAGCUCCAAUAGCGUAUAUUAAAGUUGUUGCAGUUAAAAAGCUCGUAGUUGAACCUUGAGUCUGGCUGGUCGGUCCGCCUCACCGCGAGUACUGAUCCGGCUGGACCUUUCCUUCUGGGGAACCUCAUGGCCUUCACUGGCUGUGGGGGGAACCAGGACUUUUACUGUGAAAAAAUUAGAGUGUUCAAAGCAGGCCUUUGCUCGAAUACAUUAGCAUGGAAUAAUAGAAUAGGACGUGCGGUUCUAUUUUGUUGGUUUCUAGGACCGCCGUAAUGAUUAAUAGGGAUAGUCGGGGGCGUCAGUAUUCAGCUGUCAGAGGUGAAAUUCUUGGAUUUGCUGAAGACUAACUACUGCGAAAGCAUUCGCCAAGGAUGUUUUCAUUAAUCAGGGAACGAAAGUUAGGGGAUCGAAGACGAUCAGAUACCGUCGUAGUCUUAACCAUAAACUAUGCCGACUAGG
rnacentral:rRNA from 1 species